UUAAGGUUUUGGUUAUGACGGCAA
rnacentral:siRNA from 1 species